ACAAAUUUUGAGCAUAUUAUAUGUAUCCAACAACAAAACAAGAUGAUUAAUGUUGAUGAUUGUUAAAUCCAGCGUACUGAAUAAUCUUUAAGGAAGAAAGAUACAUGGAGAUAGAAAUGCAAGCCAAGAACUGAUAUGUACGAAAACCUAAAGAAACAAUAGCAUUCACGGUUUAAAAUGAAACCAAAAUAUUUUGCAGUUUGAUAGGAAGAGAAUGUCAGCAGAACCUGACAUCAUAAUUUAAGAGGGCAGAGUGUCCAUAUCCAAGCAGGAAUAGUGGGUUCAUUUUUUGAAUCCCAAGAAAACAAACUCUCAUUAUCCUUCCUGUCUCACCCUAGCUAGAAAGGGACACAUCAACCCUAAUUUUACGUGCAGCUUCCCUUGCUCUCACAUCUCAUGCCACUGUUCAAAGCUGAGCUGAACUCACAAGAAACACUCUUUCAGCUCAACUUCAACCACCUUUGUCUAGGUUUUCAACAUGUCUUGUGUAAUGCAGGACAAGCUCUUGAAGCUCUUGGUCAUGAUUCCUCGUAAUGAAGGUCAAAAUACUCCAAGUCCUAUCAUGUGGUAGAUGUUAAGGCGGUAUCUCUCCUGAGCUUAUUCUUCUUACAUUUUUUAUUUUAUUUUAUCAACUUUAUGAAUAAUGUUCAAGUUUUCUUGACCUUGCAAGUCCACAAAAUGAGUAGUCAGGUCAAAACUACUUGUAAUUUGUUCAUAAAAGUAUGAGAUUUAGUAGAUUAGGUAGGAUAUUUUAGAAGCUAAGUAUUUGAUGCUAUCCCUCCUUGAGCUUG
rnacentral:sRNA from 1 species